rnacentral:rRNA from 1 species
AGUACAGGCGAGUGAGUGGGAAAAGCUCAACUUUGAAAUCUGGCACCUUCGGUGUCCGAGUUGUAGUCUCAAGAAGUGUUUUCUGUGCUGGUCCAUGUAUGAGUCUGUUGGAACACAGCGUCAUAGAGGGUGACAACCCCGUUCAUGACAUGGAUACCAGUGCUUUGUGAUACACUCUCGAAGAGUCGAGUUGUUUGGGAAUGCAGCUCAAAUUGGGUGGUAAAUUCCAUCUAAAGCUAAAUAUUGGCGAGAGACCGAUAGCAAACAAGUACCGUGAGGGAAAGAUGAAAAGCACUUUGGAAAGAGAGUUAACAGUACGUGAAAUUGUUGAAAGGGAAACGAUUGAAGUCAGACGUGCGUGAUGCGGUUCAGCACUGGUUCGCCAGUGUGUAUUCCGUAUCUUUGCAGGCCAACAUCAUUUUCGGUAGUCUGAUAAAGGUUACUUGAAUAUGGCAACCACGGGUGUGUUAUAACAUCCUUCUGGAGACUACUUCUCGGACACA